GCCUUCGUGGUGUAAUGGUCAGGACGCUCGGCGUAUAUUCGAGAAGUCCCAGGUUCGUGUCCCGGCGGGGGCA
rnacentral:tRNA from 1 species